UCGAACGGUAACAGGAAACAGCUUGCUGUUUCGCUGACGAGUGGCGGACGGGUGAGUAAUGUCUGGGAAACUGCCUGAUGGAGGGGGAUAACUACUGGAAACGGUAGCUAAUACCGCAUAACGUCGCAAGACCAAAGAGGGGGACCUUCGGGCCUCUUGCCAUCGGAUGUGCCCAGAUGGGAUUAGCUAGUAGGUGGGGUAACGGCUCACCUAGGCGACGAUCCCUAGCUGGUCUGAGAGGAUGACCAGCCACACUGGAACUGAGACACGGUCCAGACUCCUACGGGAGGCAGCAGUGGGGAAUAUUGCACAAUGGGCGCAAGCCUGAUGCAGCCAUGCCGCGUGUAUGAAGAAGGCCUUAGGGUUGUAAAGUACUUUCAGCGGGGAGGAAGGGAGUAAAGUUAAUACCUUUGCUCAUUGACGUUACCCGCAGAAGAAGCACCGGCUAACUCCGUGCCAGCAGCCGCGGUAAUACGGAGGGUGCAAGCGUUAAUCGGAAUUACUGGGCGUAAAGCGCACGCAGGCGGUUUGUUAAGUCAGAUGUGAAAUCCCCGGGCUCAACCUGGGAACUGCAUCUGAUACUGGCAAGCUUGAGUCUCGUAGAGGGGGGUAGAAUUCCAGGUGUAGCGGUGAAAUGCGUAGAGAUCUGGAGGAAUACCGGUGGCGAAGGCGGCCCCCUGGACGAAGACUGACGCUCAGGUGCGAAAGCGUGGGGAGCAAACAGG
rnacentral:rRNA from 1 species